GAAGAGGCUGGAGGUACAACCAAAGAUUUCAUCCUGCUGUCUCAGGGACUCCACUUCAGCUCAUUUAUGUGGAAAUGAGACCUAUGACAAAAACACACAACUAUGCUGUCAGUCAACUGUUAUUGACAAACGUUCACCGAAUCACAGAUGCUGUGACAAAAGGGCGUAUGAUGUGGAAAAGGAGCUGUGUUGUGGUCCGAUUAGUGAUAAGAAGAUCCUAACAAGGAACUCUCCAGAUCACAUGUGCUGUCAUCAGGGCCAGUUCAACAGCAAGACUGAAUGUUGCUGCUGGAAGGAUGAUGGUGCUGAGAUACAACCGAGGAAUUCAUCUUGCUGUAUGCAACAAGAGGUAAGUGUUAUGUUUUCCAAGAAAGGAAGUUAUUAAUGAUUAAACUGAAAAUAACAGACAAGCGCCACUCAAGGGCAAAAAAAGCAAAGAAACACAACAAAACCUAAAAGAUAUUCACAAAAAAAAAGGCUGUUAACCAAAAACAUGCCCUUAUCUUAAUUUUCCAGG
ensembl:lncRNA